rnacentral:rRNA from 1 species
GAUGAACGCUGGCGGCGUGCCUAAUACAUGCAAGUCGAGCGAACGGACGAGAAGCUUGCUUCUCUGAUGUUAGCGGCGGACGGGUGAGUAACACGUGGAUAACCUACCUAUAAGACUGGGAUAACUUCGGGAAACCGGAGCUAAUACCGGAUAAUAUUUUGAACCGCAUGGUUCAAAAGUGAAAGACGGUCUUGCUGUCACUUAUAGAUGGAUCCGCGCUGCAUUAGCUAGUUGGUAAGGUAACGGCUUACCAAGGCAACGAUGCAUAGCCGACCUGAGAGGGUGAUCGGCCACACGGGAACUGAGACACGGUCCAGACUCCGACGGGAGGCAGCAGUAGGGAAUCUUCCGCAAUGGGCGAAAGCCUGACGGAGCAACGCCGCGUGAGUGAUGAAGGUCUUCGGAUCGUAAAACUCUGUUAUUAGGGAAGAACAUAUGUGUAAGUAACUGUGCACAUCUUGACGGUACCUAAUCAGAAAGCCACGGCUAACUACGUG